AGUGAACGCUGGCGGUAGGCCUAACACAUGCAAGUCGAACGGCAGCACAGUAAGAGCUUGCUCUUACGGGUGGCGAGUGGCGGACGGGAGAGGAAUACAUCGGAAUCUACUUUUUCGGGGGGGAUAACGUAGGGAAACUUACGCUAAUACCGCAUACGACCUACGGGUGAAAGCAGGGGAACUUCGGACCUUGCGCGAUUGAAUGAGCCGAUGUCGGGUUAGCUAGUUGGCGGGGUAAAGGCCCACCAAGGCGACGAUCCGUAGCCGGUCUGAGAGGAUGAUCAGCCACACGGGAACUGAGACACGGUCCAGACUCCUACGGGAGGCAGCAGUGGGGAAUAUUGGACAAUGGGCGCAAGCCUGAUCCAGCCAUACCGCGUGGGUGAAGAAGGCCUUCGGGUUGUAAAGCCCUUUUGUUGGGAAAGAAAAGCAGCAGGUUAAUACCCCGCUGUUCUGACGGUACCCAAAGAAUAAGCACCGGCUAACUUCGUG
rnacentral:rRNA from 1 species